UGAUAUACCUGGCAGGGGAGACACCAUGAUCAAGAAGGUGGUUUUCCCAGGGUGAGGCUCACCCAUUGCACUGCGGGUGUGCUGUCCCCUGCGAUUUCCCCAAAUACGGGAAACUUGGCUGUAUAAUUUGUGAUAUAAUAUAGUACAUGUUCUGGUGAUGUC